rnacentral:ncRNA from 1 species
CUACGGUUAGUUAAACAGGCGAAGUAAUAGCUGUAGUAAAAUACCACAAAUUGCUGGAAACUCUUAUAAGAGAAUCAGCAGGAAUUUAUAUUAAAAAGUUUAGUAUAUAAAAUUCUACUUUUAAGGAUAUAUCUUCUUCAGAGACUAUGUACGGUACAUUUUUUUUAAAGUAUUUAGCCGGAUACACAAAAGAUGAAGAGAUAGUCCAAACCAUUAACGAGAGUUAGUG